AUCUGGAGAGGAUGCUUCUGGCGCGGCGCCUUCCGAGUUCCCUGGAACGGGACGCCGGAGAGGGUGAGAGCCCCGUACGGUUGGACGCCUAGCCUUUGUGAAGCUCCUUCGACGAGUCGAGUAGUUUGGGAAUGCUGCUCAAAAUGGGAGGUAAAUUUCUUCUAAAGCUAAAUACCGGCCAGAGACCGAUAGCGCACAAGUAGAGUGAUCGAAAGAUGAAAAGCACUUUGAAAAGAGGGUCAAACAGUACGUGAAAUUGUUGAAAGGGAAGCGCCCGUGGCCAGACUUGUGCCCCGCGGACCACCCGGCGCCCUCAGCGCCGGUGCACUCCGCGGGGCGCAGGCCAGCAUCGGUUUUCCUAGGGGGAUAAAGGCGGCGGGAACGUGGCUCCUUCGGGAGUGUUAUAGCCCGUCGUGCCAUGCCCCUGGGGGGACCGAGGACCGCGCUUCGGCAAGGAUGCUGGCGUAAUGGCCACCGGCGACCCGUCUUG
rnacentral:rRNA from 1 species